rnacentral:rRNA from 1 species
GAUGAACGCUGGCGGCGUGCUUAACACAUGCAAGUCGAACGAAGCACUUUGAUCGAUUUCUUCGGAUUGAAAUUUUAGUGACUGAGUGGCGGACGGGUGAGUAACGCGUGGGUAACCUGCCUCACACAGGGGGAUAACAGUUGGAAACGGCUGCUAAUACCGCAUAAGCGCACAGUACCGCAUGGUACAGUGUGAAAAACUCCGGUGGUGUGAGAUGGACCCGCGUCUGAUUAGCUAGUUGGCAGGGCAGCGGCCUACCAAGGCGACGAUCAGUAGCCGACCUGAGAGGGUGACCGGCCACAUUGGGACUGAGACACGGCCCAAACUCCUACGGGAGGCAGCAGUGGGGAAUAUUGCACAAUGGGGGAAACCCUGAUGCAGCGACGCCGCGUGAGCGAAGAAGUAUUUCGGUAUGUAAAGCUCUAUCAGCAGGGAAGAAGAAAUGACGGUACCUGACUAAGAAGCACCGGCUAAAUACGUGCCAGCAGCCGCGGUAAUACGUAUGGUGCAAGCGUUAUCCGGAUUUACUGGGUGUAAAGGGAGCGCAGGCGGAAGGCUAAGUCUGAUGUGAAAGCCCGGGGCUCAACCCCGGUACUGCAUUGGAAACUGGUCAUCUAGAGUGUCGGAGGGGUAAGUGGAAUUCCUAGUGUAGCGGUGAAAUGCGUAGAUAUUAGGAGGACACCAGUGGCGAAGGCGGCUUACU